rnacentral:tRNA from 1 species
CAUUAGGUGGCUGAAAGUUUUAGGCAAUGAAAUUUUAAAUCAUACUAUAGUAGCUAACAAUUACUUCUAAUGA